rnacentral:rRNA from 1 species
GAACGGGUGAGUAACACGUGGGUGAUCUGCCCUGCACUUUGGGAUAAGCCUGGGAAACUGGGUCUAAUACCGAAUAUGACCAUGCGCCUCCUGGUGUGUGGUGGAAAGCUUUUGCGGUGUGGGAUGGGCCCGCGGCCUAUCAGCUUGUUGGUGGGGUAAUGGCCUACCAAGGCGACGACGGGUAGCCGGCCUGAGAGGGUGACCGGCCACACUGGGACUGAGAUACGGCCCAGACUCCUACGGGAGGCAGCAGUGGGGAAUAUUGCACAAUGGGCGCAAGCCUGAUGCAGCGACGCCGCGUGAGGGAUGACGGCCUUCGGGUUGUAAACCUCUUUCAGCACAGACGAAGCGCAAGUGACGGUAUGUGCAGAAGAAGGACCGGCCAACUACGUGCCAGCAGCCGCGGUAAUACGUAGGGUCCGAGCGUUGUCCGGAAUUACUGGGCGUAAAGAGCUCGUAGGUGGUUUGUCGCGUUGUUCGUGAAAACUCACAGCUUAACUGUGGGCGUGCGGGCGAUACGGGCAGACUUGAGUACUGCAGGGGAGACUGGAAUUCCUGGUGUAGCGGUGGAAUGCGCAGAUAUCAGGAGGAACACCGGUGGCGAAGGCGGGUCUCUGGGCAGUAACUGACGCUGAGGAGCGAAAGCGUGGGGAGCGAACAGGAUUAGAUACCCUGGUAGUCCACGCCGUAAACGGUGGGUACUAGGUGUGGGUUUCCUUCCUUGGGAUCCGUGCCGUAGCUAACGCAUUAAGUACCCCGCCUGGGGAGUACGGCCGCAAGGCUAAAACUCAAAGAAAUUGACGGGGGCCCGCACAAGCGGC